rnacentral:tRNA from 1 species
GAUUCUGUAGCUCAACUGGAAAGAGUGUUCGCCUACGAAGCGAAGGGUUUUAGGUUCGAAUCCUAACAGAAUCAC